CAUACACUCCCUCUGUCCGAAAAUACUUGUCAUAUGAAUGAGUGUAUCUAGAUGUGUUUUAGUUUUAGAUACAUCCAUUUAUAUCCAUUUAUGCAACAAGUAUUUUUGAACAGAGGGAGUACAAC
rnacentral:pre_miRNA from 1 species